CUAAGAGAACUACACCAUGAUCUUGUCAUUGGUGUUGUCUCUAUACGUUAUAUAGAACUUUUAAAACAUCCAUAUACUUAGAUCCACUAUGAAUAUCUGAUAAUUUUGUUGUGUCUUACUAAAACUAAUCUCAAGACCAUAAAUUUUUGUGUCAUUUUUUUCUCCAAUACUUUUUUGAAAAAGCAAUUUAUUUUAUCUUAUAAUGAAAGGAUUAUGUCUAAAAAUACUAUUACUAACAACACCUUAUUCAAUAUAAACUUUUUAAAUGAUUUUUUGAAAAAUAAAACUUUGAAAACAUAAAAAUAGAUAAAAUUCAGUUUCCCAGUGGUCUAAACACAGUAUUAGACAGUUGAGUUGUGGAGUAUAUUUGGUAUAUCUAAAGUCUUAUCACAUGGGAUUGACAAAUUCCAAUUUACUAAAAUGAACAAUUUUAGGUUAAGAAUGACUCAAAUUUGACAAGUUUUUUUGUAAUAAUUGGUUAAAGCAUUGAAGCACUGUUUCAAAAUAUUAAAGUAUAGGGUAAUUCUUUUACUUGUUUUUAUUAGAUGACUUCAAACAAAUAACUUAAUUCUUAAUUCUACACCAAAAAUAGCCGUAAAAUAGUGUGAAUUCUGUUACCUUAUUCUCAGUGUUGCCUUUUGUUUCCUAGGUAAUAAUUGUCACUCUGUAUCAAGAACGUCAAGAGCAUGCUCUGUACUUUAUAAACAUUAUUCUGUUAAAUCCUCCCAACAGUCCUCUGAAGUAGCCUUUCCAAUUCUCCUUUUACAGAUGAGGAAAUGGAGGUUCAGAGUUUAAUUAACAUGACUAAGAGGAUACAGGCAGGAAGAGGGAAAGCCAAGAGUUGAGCAAGCUCUGUCUUACUACAAAGCCCAUGCUUUUAUUUAGUUACUUCAACACUAAGGCCAAUUUUGACCAAGUGGUUUUUAAAGAGAAGGGGGAACGUUUUAUUUUGGAGGAAGAGCAGAAAAUGCUGCUACUUUAAUUAACUCCCCUUUGUCUCUGCCCAUUAAGACCCAAACUCCCAUCUCAAGUAUUACAGAACGUUUUAAUAUUGUUCUUGUUGUCCUUAUCUUUCUUAGUUAUCCCAAAGAUGAAAAAUGUUGGUAAAAACCACUGGGGUGGUGAUAGCUAGAAUUAGACAGGGGCAGCUUGACAACCCCUACCCCCACAAUGCCACCAAAUCAUGCUACAUAGGAGGUUUAUCUAUGUUACCUACAAGUAGAGGAGAUCUUUCCAUGGUGUGAAGCACUUCCUAAAACAAUAUUCCUAGUUGCCUAAUGUAGUCAACCAACUCUUCAAAUCACAAAACAGGGCAGAUCCAGUUAUAGAAUAUUUAUAGACUAAAUACAUGGGAUGUGCAGAACUGAAG
rnacentral:lncRNA from 1 species